GCCGGGCGUGUUGGUGGGCGCCUGUAGUCCCAGCUGCUCGGGAGGCUGAGGCAGGAGGCUGGCGUGAACCUGGGAGGCGGAGGUUGCAGUGAGCCAAGAUUGUGGCACUGCACUCCAGCCUGGGCAGCAGAGCGAGACUCUGUCUCAAAAAUAAAAGAAAGAAAUACUCUUUUUUUAUUUUUGAAACAGGGUCUCGCUCUGUUGCUCAGAGUGGAGUGCAGUGGCAUGAUCUUGGCUCACUGCAACCUCCGCCUCCCAGAUUCAAGCGAUUCUCAUGCCUCAG
rnacentral:sRNA from 1 species